UUCGAAUAUUGUCUACCUAUUGUAUACCUAUAAUAGGUAGUACCAACAUACAAUUUCCACACCUCUUGGCUGAUUACUUCACCAGAAUACAUAUAACGACACCCCAAUGAUUUAUAUUGUAAUGAUUUUUCUGUUGAUUCUGUGAUACACUGACUCUUAAAAUAUAUGUAUGUAUAGUUUGGUCUCACUGAAAACACUGGUUACUCAAUAAUCAAGCGUAUUCACUUACGGUAUCGCGUGUAAGGUUGUAAAAAUAGUAUUUACUUCUUUUCAUAAUAAAAAUAUUAUCACCUACCCCGGCCCAGAACUCCAGGUAAAAUAUUAACCAUUGCCUUUAUAGAGAGACAGGUAUCCUAGAUAAUAUGCCUAGUGUGAACGAAUUUCAAUUCCGUUUUAAUACAUGAAGAUACAAGAACUCUACCAUAAUUAUUAAGUACGAUGAAAUCUUUUAAUGCAAAACUUAUAUAAAAAGAUAAUCUAGUGAAGUGACCUGGAAUGUUGAUAGUGGCGUUAUUUCUGCUAUUCGGUUAGUUGGCUCUUUGCCAGCUGAUGUGGCCGCACUAUAGCGUGGGCAAUGCCCACUCACGCAUUUUUAUCAUACAUAGAAUGUUUUUCUUCUAUUGUACAGUGAGAGCAUGGAACUAAUGUACAAUAUCAGUCAAAUAUUUCUUUGCAGCUGGCAGAAAUAUCGUCGUAUUUAAUAUAAUUUAAAAAGUUUAGGUUUUUGGAACCAAACAGCUAAACAAUUGUGUACAUAUUUAAAUGGUGAAAUAUUCAUGAGUUGUGGCACUAGUUUCAACAAGCUAACAUUAGAUUCGUCACCAGAGCUUCCCCCAUCAAAUGUGCUAGAUUGUUUGUGUUUCUAAUGAAAGUAUAUUCAAUACGUUUUUUUUGUAAGCAAUAAAAAUAAACUUAAACAGGUUUCGCAUUUAUUAUGAGUUGGAGCAUUAGAUUAUUCAACUUUAUUGCUUUGAGAAGCUCCACGUUUACUACCGCAUAAAAAUGCCCCCGGGCUACGCUCAGAGCGGUGAGCUGAGCACAAACGUGCACCAUACACAGCUGUAGUAAACAUCGCGCCACGCAUUGAAAGUCGGCACUUUAAAGCACUAAUAACAUACGAUUACAUAGAAGGUAUCUUCUUCAACUCGUCGGCAAUUACUAUUUCUGUGUUCACCUACCUACGGGAACUUGUUUGGUUACGUAGAAAAAAAUAUUGUAGAAGAUUUAUUGAAUACGUAUACGUAGGUACUUUAUGUACGUAUCUUGUACUUUUAAUUAAUAGGCGUUAAGACAAAUCUGAAUUUUGAAAAAUUUUUUUGACUAUUUAGGUGUAUGUGUUGUAUGUUAAUCGAUACCUUGUUGGUGUAGUGACUAACUAGAUCGGGUACUGCUUACUGCUAUCACAGAGUCCGUAUUCGAUGCCCGAUCGAAACAAGUAGCUUUUAAGUUAUAUUGUAUGAUAUUCGGAAUCUGGCCCUACAUGUUUCAUUCUACAUAUUAUGUAGUAUUUGAUUCAAGAUAAUAUGUGUGGGUUUACAGCGUGUCUAUUACAUAGGAGAAAUAGUGCCGUUAAAAAAAAAUAAAGAAAAAAAAAAUUUAAGGGAUAAUUUUGUUAUAAAAAUAGAAGACUAGGUAAGCAUUUACAAAUUAUCGUAAAAUACUUAGCAAGGAUGUAACAAAUAACGAAGUAUUCGCAGGGUUUUGAGGACGAUUAAUUUAGAAAUUUGAACACAAAUUUCUAGUUUUUUUUUUUAUUAUUUAAAAUUAGGUAGGUCUGCCUACAUUGAAACAAACUGGACGGUACAUUCCCGCUCGCAACGCCGUCGAGUGUAGACUUCGAUCAACAAUAGUAACUAGAUUUCGGGUCGGUGCAUAAAAUCCGUCUCGUCAAAUAACAGCGAAAUGUGAGCUCUUAUUUUGUUUAGUUCACUUCAAACACAGCCAAUGUCAACCCGUCUCACAAUACCGCAGUGUGUAUUCAAAAGUUGCAAAAAUAAGGCCCGAAAAAGCAAUUUAACGGCCGGAGUAUCUUACUUUCGCUUUCCUAGCAAUCACGUGUGCAGAAUGGAUCUCGAUUGUCGCCAGAGAAACAAGAGAUGACUUUUAUAAGCCAGCUAAGAACUCCGCUUAUUGACACUGGACAUCUUUGCCUUCCGUGCUCACGGCUACUGAAAUGUGGCCGAAACAUUGUAAUAAAAAUACCACGCUUGAAACCGUUUAAA